rnacentral:rRNA from 1 species
UAGGGAAUCUUCGGCAAUGGGCGAAAGCCUGACCGAGCAACGCCGCGUGAGCGAUGAAGGCCUUCGGCUCGUAAAGCUCUGUUGUUAAGGAAGAACAAGGACGAGAGUAACUGCUCGUACCAUGACGUACUAGCA